CAUAUCAAUAAGCGGAGGAAAAGAAACCAACUGGGAUUACCUUAGUAACGGCGAGUGAAGCGGUAAAAGCUCAAAUUUGAAAUCUGGUACUUUCAGUGCCCGAGUUGUAAUUUGUAGAAUUUGUCUUUGAUUAGGUCCUUGUCUAUGUUCCUUGGAACAGGACGUCAUAGAGGGUGAGAAUCCCGUUUGGCGAGGAUACCUUUUCUCUGUAAGACUUUUUCGAAGAGUCGAGUUGUUUGGGAAUGCAGCUCAAAGUGGGUGGUAAAUUCCAUCUAAAGCUAAAUAUUGGCGAGAGACCGAUAGCGAGCAAGGACAGUGAUGGAAAGAUGAAAAGAACUUUGAAAAGAGAGUGAAAAAGUACGUGAAAUUGUUGAAAGGGAAGGGCAUUUGAUCAGACAUGGUGUUUUUUGCAUGCACUCGCCUCUCGUGGGCUUGGGCCUCUCAAAAAUUUCACUGGGCCAACAUCAAUUCUGGCAGCAGGAUAAAUCAUUAAGAAUGUAGCUAAUUCGGUAGUGUUAUAGCUUUUGGAAUGCUGUUAGCCGAAAUUAAGGACUGCGCUUCGGCAAGGAUGGC
rnacentral:rRNA from 1 species